rnacentral:misc_RNA from 1 species
GAGUUACGCUCGGUCCGAGCCGACCGUGGAACGUAGAAAUUGAAUCCUGAGUAACGCGGUAGCCGGAAAACCAAAACUACGCCGAAGGAUACAUCGGAGUGCGCCGCAAGUGUUUGAUCUCCUUCGCAGAAGAGACGAGAACGAGGGUAUCGAGGAAAUGCAGAGAGAAGGAAAACGAGAAUAGGAGGAAGAAAAGGAAGAGAAAAAAAAAGGAGCGAGCGUCAAACGAACGGCAGCCGGCGAAGAUCGAACCUUGUUCGAUAGAUAAACUGAAUUUGAGAAG